GACGAACGCUGGCGGCGUGCCUAAUACAUGCAAGUCGAGCGAGACUCUUCGGAGUCUAGCGGCGGACGGGUGAGUAACACGUGGGCAACCUACCUGUCAGACUGGGAUAACACCGGGAAACCGGUGCUAAUACCGGAUAAUCCUUUUCCUCUCAUGAGGAAAAGCUGAAAGUCGGUUUCGGCUGACACUUACAGAUGGGCCCGCGGCGCAUUAGCUAGUUGGUGAGGUAACGGCUCACCAAGGCGACGAUGCGUAGCCGACCUGAGAGGGUGAUCGGCCACACUGGGACUGAGACACGGCCCAGACUCCUACGGGAGGCAGCAGUAGGGAAUCUUCCACAAUGGAUGAAAGUCUGAUGGAGCAACGCCGCGUGAGCGAUGAAGGCCUUCGGGUCGUAAAGCUCUGUUGUUAGGGAAGAACAAGUACCGGAGUAACUGCCGGUACCUUGACGGUACCUAACCAGAAAGCCACGGCUAACUACGUGCCAGCAGCCGCCGUAAGAC
rnacentral:rRNA from 1 species